GCUAAACUGUCUUUACAGCCCUAUGUGAUAGAUCCAGUCCCAUUCCUUCCCUGGGGCUGUCUGAAGAUUGCACUGUGGAGUCAGUGGAAGGAAAUUAUCAUCUCCAAGAGCCCAAAGGCAAGUAAAUCAUCCUUUUCAUGGUUUAUUGCAUUAUUACCAGGUCACUUGGUCAGGGAUAAGAAAUCGGAGAAAUAAGAGACUCCGAAGAGACUCUCUGAGUUGUGCACAGCAUUAGAAUAUGAGUCCAAGGCACAGCUUGCACCUACAAUAUGUCUUUUGAUGAUUUGCCCCAUUCACUUUUAAAGCCAGGAAGGUGACAAUAAAAAGACUCUGCAUCAUGUAAAAUGACAUGCUUUAUUUUUCAUAUUUGUUCCCUCAAGAAGCAGCAUUGCGAAGAAAUAGCACCUCUGAAAGCCAGGGCCUGCAUCAUUCAUGAGCUCUGCGUGGCUCUGGCAGGGAAGCAGAUACUUCAGUUCUCAAAACUCAAGACACAAUUUACCUUUUAUCGGAGCCUUGUUGUAAAUCCUGUUUGUACAUGUGUAUACAGAGCCGUUUUAUAUUAGAUGCCUCGGCCAUAAGAGAUGGUUACGUGCUGCUGCUGUCAAUCAGAACAAGACCCUGGUUCAUAAAAGGGGGUUUCUUUGGAUAAGAGAGGCCUAAGGGUGACAAAAGGCCACCCUGUUGCCAGCUAGUCUCAAGCUCCUAGCAUUCAAAUACCCACUGCAUUAGUUAGCUAUAUGACAUCCACUCUGAGGGAGGGGGAGAGAAAAGGACCCUGUAAGUUCAUGUAACACUGACAUUGCUGCUUUAUUCUCUCAGGAAAAUAUCACCACAUGGUCUUUAUUUAAUCCAAAUCAACUUGUUGUCCUGUCUAAUAUCACUGAGUUUCUAGAGCUAAUCAGUUGCACAUAUGGCUCCUUCCUUGGGUCCUUAGUGUGCGGCUUUCCUGAACAUGCAUUCAGCAUCCAGUGUCUGGACGGCACCAAGCUGCCCUUCUCUCCUUGGUCUACAGCCAGCUGGAAUUUGCCUGUUACCUGGACAAAUCUGCUCGGGGAGACCAUCACUCAAGCUCUCCUCUGCUUGAGGCCUUCAUCUCGGGUGAAAAUCUCCUUCCCACAUCCCUGUUCGUGAUCCACCGCUUCGGUUUCGUGGCCUGUGUGACACCCUCCCACUAUGCACUUCUCGUGCCCAUGCUGCCCAGCUGCCUGACUAACCAAUGGGACACUAUAACCUUCUCAUACUAUGCCAAGAAGUACUCAGGAAGCCUCAGACUCCUACUACAACCCCAAGCUCCUUUUGGAGGAAAAGGACUUCAAGGUGCUGGAAAUGAAGACUGCUUCUUCCCGGAUACACUCUUGCCUUUGCUCAUAAUCCUGGAUGGACAGACAUGCAAAUCGGUCAAAUCAAAC